CACGUAGGGCGCAAGCGUUGUCCGGAAUUAUUGGGCGUAAAGAGCUCGUAGGCGGUCUGUUGCGUCCGCUGUGAAAACCCGGGGCUUAACCCCUGGCUUGCAGUGGAUACGGACAGACUAGAGGUAGGUAGGGGAGAAUGGAAUUCCCGGUGUAGCGGUGAAAUGCGCAGAUAUCAGGAGGAACACCGGUGGCGAAGGCGGGUCUCUGGGCCGAUACUGACGCUGAGGAGCGAAAGCGUGGGGAGCAAACAGG
rnacentral:rRNA from 1 species